CAGGCAGAAGUAAAACAGGGUGCUGGGAUUCCUCCAUCCUGCUGCCAGAUGUCUUCUCUGGCAUUCUGGGGGUGGGCAGGGGACUGUGGGAGCACCCUCGAGGCUCUGGGCAGGAUGGUAGGAAGCAAAGAUGCAGCUGCAGGCAGUGGGCUGUGGGCUGGAGCAGUGCAGCCAGGCACAGCCGCACGGCUCACAGUAUGGGCACAUGGAGGAAGUUCAUCCAGCUGAGAGCUGCUGGGCUGUCCUUACCAUGCACUCUCCCAUCCUACAUGUCUGCACAGACUGCAGCAGUUGCUUGAGCAUUUUCCACUGCGGCAGCUCACAAGCGACAACUCCAACCUUGACCCAUACAGGGCUGGCAGCCACAGAGGAAUUGUCUCUUUCUGGAGGCUGUGUCCUGUGGAUUGCUGGGUGAGCCCUGGUCCUUGGAAAGAGGUAGGUGAUUUUUUUUAAUUAUUAUUAUUAUUAUUUUUAUUGCAGGGUUUUGAUCUCUGCCUUUCUGAGAGGAUUCUAUGCUGGUUUAGGGUAGCUAUAUCUGCUAUGCCUGUCCUUAUGAUGCCCUUCAAUUGUUCUCUGAGAAAAAUGAAGGGGUUGUCUCCCUUUCUCUGACCUGGUAGUAGCGGAACUGACAUACAUUCAUUUCUUCUGCUAUUAUCUCGUUUCUGGAAUGCUUCAAUCAGCCCCAAGGUAAUGCUGGUUGGCUUACUGAGCAUUGCAACUCCAGAAAUGCCUGGAGCUGGUGGUCUUUUCCAUAAAGGGGUUCUGUGCUUUCCAGAUCUUCUUUGCAACUCUUCUUAAACUCAGUACCUUCUCAUUAAGUCUCUGUUCCCUCUUUCAUGAUUCUCAUCUCACAGUCUCCAACUUGGGACUCCAAACUUGGUUUGUCUGCCGCCACGCUGUCCCAGCCCAUUUUAUGACAUGUACUCUCUGUGUCCCCCUCCCUGUUCUCUCUGUGUCCUCGUGCCCCACCCGCGUCUUUGUGUUCUCCCUGUGUCCUCUCUCCAUGUCCGUUCUGUGUCUCCUAAUUAUGUUCUGCGUCCCUUUUGAUCUCUUUCUGUUUUGCAGCUCGAUGGGGUUUAAGGAUUUCUGGGGCUCCUCUAGCUAGUGGUUUAAGCACUGUGAAAUCUGUGGAGCAGAUAAUGGAACACCACAAGCCCCUUGUUUGUGCAUGGCUUGUAUGCAGGCAGCUUUUGUGAUAGCUGUGGAAAGCUCACUUAAAGAUGAAAUGGGGGUUACCUUGCUCAGUGGGGUCUAUUUUUCCAGCCCAAUAAGCUACAUGGCUAGUGAUAGAGUGAGGUGAAUCUACCAGGCUGGGACCUGAGCUUAAGAAAACCACUGGGCCCCAGUAGCCAUUUUCUUCAUCCUCACUUGAUAUAAUACAGUCUCCACUACUCGAGUAUAGUGAGCACAAAUAUUCUGUUCCCAUUUUGUCUGGUUCUCUCCUAUAUUGUCCUUACAAAUUUGUCAGUGGUAACAGGUGCCAGGGCAUAAUUCUCAGAGCACACUGUGGCCGACCGCCCCAGGGUCCUAUGGUUCUUUCUGUUUCUAUGGCAGAUCUGGCUUUGUAUUUAUAGGAAACAAGGGAUUGUUCUCCACUGGGCCACUUCAUCAGGAUCACCCCAGAUAUCUCCAUUCCAGUUGUCUGGGGAUGCCAUUACUUUCCUAACCUGUAUGGUACCCAAACCCCCUGCCCCUCUUCCUUCCAUCCCCUGACCCCCCAUUAAAUAGCUAGCUCUGCAGCUAUGGGACCCGACAGUGUGAUGAGGCAAGGCCUCUGAUCUACUGAAUACUGAGACUGGCACAGAGAGGCUCUACAACUGGUCUGGAUCUUCCUGA